GGACUACCAGGGUAUCUAAUCCUGUUUGCUCCCCUAGCUUUCGUGCCUCAGUGUCAGGAGUUGUCCAGGGACUCGCCUUCGCCACUGGUGUUCCUCUCGAUAUCUACGCAUUUCACUGCUACACCGAGAAUUCCAGUCCCCCCUCCAACCCUCAAGCCAGGUAGUUUCCAAUGCAGUUUCGGAGUUGAGCUCCGAGAUUUCACAUCCGACUUACCCGACCACCUACGCACCCUUUACGCCCAGUGAAUCCGAACAACGCUUGGGACCUCUGUAUUACCGCGGCUGCUGGCAC
rnacentral:rRNA from 2 species